GACGAACGCUGGCGGCGUGCUUAACACAUGCAAGUCGAACGAAGUGGCGAACGGGUGAGUAACGCGUAAUCAACCUGCCCUUCAGAGGGGGACAACAGUUGGAAACGACUGCUAAUACCGCAUACUGAAGGAGGGGAUUGCGACGGAUUAGCUAGUUGGGGGGGUAACUGCCCACCAAGGCGAUGAGCAGUCGCCGGUCUGAGAGGAUGAACGGACCAAUUGGGACGGAGACACGGCCCAGACUCCUACGGGAGGCAGCAGUUGGGAAGCUUCCGCAAUGGACGAAAGUCUGACUGAUCAACGCCGCGUGGUUGAUGACGGCCUUCGGGUUGUAAAGCUCUGUUAAGCGGGACGCGGUACCGGAAUAGAAAGCCACGGCUAACUACGUGCCAGCAGCCGCGGUAAUUC
rnacentral:rRNA from 1 species